rnacentral:lncRNA from 1 species
ACACUCCUCAGUACUCCUGACAUCCAACCAGGUGCCGUGGACAGAAGAGCCAUCAUCUGCCCAGCGGUCUGGCAGCCUGGAGACCUUUCCCCUGGCCUAGUGCUCGCUGCCCGUCAGGUAUCAGUUUGGACGCCGCAUUCCAAUCCAGGAAGCCUUCCUCACCCGGGCAAGAUGAGACCACCUAGUUGCAGGAAAACAAGCUAAGGGCUCCCACUGAUUCUACAUUAUGCCCUUUCCAGUCUGUGGAAAAAAGUGUCUUCCAUGAAACCGGUCCCUGGUGUCAAAAAGGUUGGAGACCGCUGCUCUACGGAUUGAUUGGAGCCGCGGGGACCCUCGCGCCGUCGCCGCCGCCGCCUGGAUCCCCGCACCAGGCCAGCGGAGAAGACCUUCAAGCAGCGCCGCACCUUCCAACAAAGAGUAGAUGUCCGACUUAUUCAAGAGCAGCAUCCAGCCAAAAGCCCGGUGAUAACAGAACGAUACCAAGGUGAGAAGCAGCUUCCUGUCCUGGAUAAAACG